rnacentral:lncRNA from 1 species
CCAACCACCUUGUCCCUGCAGGAGGACUUCCAAUGACAGCAGGAUGGCACGAAGGAUGUCUGUGAAGGAGUUCCUGCAGCCAGAGCAGAAAGGAGAGCUGUGUGUGAAUAUGAGCCGGUGAUAGCACGUUGCGUGCAACAGUGCUGGCCUCCGCAUGCCACUGCUCCAUGAACCCAGCCUGGAGGGUCACACUUGCGUCCUGUACCCAAAGGGACUGAAAAUACAUUUGCUAAACUUCACAGCAAUAAUGCUUCAAGACUUGCAGGU